GAUGAACGCUGGCGGCGUGCCUAAUACAUGCAAGUCGAACGAAACUUCUUUAUCACCGAGUGCUUGCACUCACCGAUAAAGAGUUGAGUGGCGAACGGGUGAGUAACACGUGGGCAACCUGCCCAAAAGAGGGGGAUAACACUUGGAAACAGGUGCUAAUACCGCAUAACCAUAGUUACCGCAUGGUAACUAUGUAAAAGGUGGCUAUACUACCGCUUUUGGAUGGGCCCGCGGCGCAUUAGCUAGUUGGUAGGGUAAAGGCUUACCAAGGCAAUGAUGCGUAGCCGAAUUGAGAGGUUGAUCGGCCACAUUGGGACUGAGACACGGCCCAAACUCCUACGGGAGGCAGCAGUAGGGAAUCUUCCACAAUGGGCGAAAGACUGAUGGAGCAACGCCGCGUGGGUGAAGAAGGUCUUCGGAUCGUAAAACCCUGUUGUUAGAGAAGAAAGUGCGUGAGAGUAACUGUUCACGUUUCGACGGUAUCUAACCAGAAAGCCACGGCUAACUACGUG
rnacentral:rRNA from 1 species